AAACUAGAGGCUCUAAAGAGCCUGUGUCGCUCACCUUGGUCUAUGUGAAUAUUAAACAAAGGAAGCAGAUGGAUUCAUGACAAAAUUGUGUUUUGGUGAUGGUGAUGUGUUUGUACAUCUUACUUUACUGAAUAUUCUUGCUACUUACAAUUAUCUCUAUCUAUAAUGAACUUGGCCCAGUAGUUUCAGUGGAAAAUGUUAGUUAAAAUUUACAAAUUUUAUGAAAAUUGUUAAAAAUUGACUAUCAAGGACAAUAACUCCUUAGGGGUCAAUUGACCAUUUCCGUCAUGUUGACUUAUUUGUAAAUUUUACUUUGCUUAACAUUUAAUUUAUUGAUGUUUACAGUUUAUCUCUAUCUAUAAUAAUAUUCAAGAU
rnacentral:lncRNA from 1 species